GGCGCGGUGGACGAAGGGGAGAGUCACCUGGUUUUCACCCAGGGAAUGUGCGGGUUCGAAUCCCGUCCGCGCUAC
rnacentral:tRNA from 1 species